rnacentral:lncRNA from 1 species
AAUCCAGCAAAGAAGACCCAGACCAUGCGAGCAUGGAAAACACAGAAAAAAAAUGAAAUGUAACUAAAGAAUAAGGAGACAUGACCAAACUAGUGAGCAAGGCUCAGAUAACGCGAGCAUGUAAGUUCCACCAAGAUAAAGGAACCAAAAGCAAGCUUCAGACCAGCAGCGAUUGUUCGACCAUAAAGUGCACAUUAACUGAGAUUAAUACAUACUAAGCAAAGGACCAAAUGGCAGUCGAGAGUGGUUGCCCGCAAGCGGACCGUCCAAACUUCUUGUCUACAGCAAAUCUCUUUUUUUUUUUUUUCACUUCCUUGCAUAUCAUCACUGCCGCUAACAGUAAAAGAAAAAACUAACGACAAAAAAGAGGAGAAAAAUAAAUGAACAGGAAAAAAAACAAACAAGCAAAAUUCGAAGGUCAGUUAAUCCGAGAAUGCAAAACUAAAUUCAGGGAAGGAAAAACAUAAGGAAAAAAUAAAUAAAUAAAUAAAUAAAUAAAACAUAACCACUCCAGAGAAGAAAACCCAGAACAUGCAAACAUGGAAAACCCAAAGAAAAAAUAUGAAACAUAACUAAAGAAUAAGAAGGAGACAUGACCAAACCAGUGAGCAAGGCUCAGAUUAUGCGAGCAUAUAAGUUCCACCAUGAUAAAGGAACAAAAAAGCAAGCUUUAGACCAGCAGGAGUGUUCGACCAUAAAGCGCACACUAAUUGAGAUUAAUACAUACUAAUCAAAGGACCAAAUGAAUGGUCGAGAGUGGUUGCCCGCAAACGGGCCGUCCAAACUCCUUGCCUACAGCAAAUCUCAGUUUUUUUUUCCUUCAUUGCAUAUCAUCACUGCCACCAACAGGGGAAACAAAACUAACGACAAAAUCAGGAGGAAAUAAACUAACACAAAAAAAACAUACAUUCAAAAUUAGCCAAAGACCAUUACGAAAUAUAAGUGAAAAAACAAACGCAAAUGAACAGUCGAGAGUGGUUGCCCGCAAGCGGGCCGUCCAAACUUUGCGCCUACAGCAAACUCAGUUUUUUUCCUUCCUCGCAUAUCAUCACUGCCACCAACAGUAAAAAAAACUAAUGACAAAAUCAGGAGCAAAUAAACAUUGAGGAAAGGAAAAACAUACAGUCAAAAUUAGCUAUAAGGAGCGAAAAAAACAAACGAGCAAAUAAAUAAGAAGCUUCAGAUCAGCGGCGAGUGGUUGCCUGUAAAUAGGCCGUCCAAACCCCGGCACGUGAAAAAAACAUACAUUCAAAAUUAGCUAAAGACCAUUACGAAAUAUAAGUGAAAAACAAACGCAAAUGAACAGUCGAGAGUGGUUGCCCACAAGCGGGCCAUCCAAACUUCGCGCCUAAAGCAACUCUCAGUUUUUUUUCCUUCCUUGCAUAUCAUCA